UUAGUUGUUAGUGGUUAGCUAGAUACCAAGUGAAUAAGAAUAAGAAUAAUAAGAAGAAAAAGAUGAUGAUGAUGAUGAUGAUGAUGAAGAAGAAGAAGAAGAAGAAGAAGAGUAGAGAGGAGAAGAAGAAAGAAGAGGAAAAAGGAAAAGAAGGAAGAAGAAGAAGAAUAAGAAGAGGAAAAAGGAAAAGAAGGAAGAAGAAGAAGAAGAUGAAGAAGAGA
rnacentral:lncRNA from 1 species